rnacentral:lncRNA from 1 species
CUUUAAUCCCUAAUUUUUGCCUGGACCGCCUUUUCAGGUUUUCAGUCCAUCAGGAUACCCCUUUUUGCCCAAGCCGCCUUUUCAGGUUUUCGACUUGCCGGGUGUACAUUUUUAUAUGUUUAUCCCUAAUUUUUGCCUGAACCCUUUUGGUUAGCCGGGAUGCCCUUAUUUUUGCCUAGGUACGUCGACCUAGCGGGUCUCUUUUAUGCGUAGUAUUUUUUUUUGACUAGGUCUGCG